CCCAUGCUGUAGGUAACUGCCUAGGUUGCCUUGUACCUAGGCAAGUGUUGCACUGCUGGGAGAAAGGCAGUCAGAAGCUGGCGGGCAUU
ensembl:snoRNA SNORA74 Small nucleolar RNA SNORA74